rnacentral:rRNA from 1 species
GAAAGACCUUGCGCUAAAGGAGCGGCUGAUGUCUGAUUAGCUAGUUGGUGGGGUAAAGGCUUACCAAGGCAACGAUCAGUAGCUGGUCUGAGAGGACGACCAGCCACACUGGGACUGAGACACGGCCCAGACUCCGUACGGGAGGCAGCAGUGGGGAAUUUUGGACAAUGGGCGAAAGCCUGAUCCAGCCAUGCCGCGUGAGUGAAGAAGGCCUUCGGGUUGUAAAGCUCUUUUAGUCGGAAAGAAAGAGUCAUAGUAAAUAGCUAUGAUUUAUGACGGUACCGACAGAAAAAGCACCGGCUAACUACGUGCCAGCAGCCGCGGUAAUACGUAGGGUGCGAGCGUUAAUCGGAAUUACUGGGCGUAAAGGGUGCGCAGGCGGCCUUGUAAGUCAGAUGUGAAAGCCCCGGGCUUAACCUGGGAAUU